GGAAGCUAACAGAGGAGCAGCGGUCUCUCUCUCCCUCUCUCUCUUUUUCUUCUUUUUUUUUUCUGUAUUGUCGGAUUUGGGUGGAGGAUGGGCUGGCAGCAGGGCACGGAAAACAAGGGACAAAAACAACACGACGGGGACAACCGGGUUAGCGAGCGUAACUUCGUGAGAGGAGCGAGUGUGUUUGAUAGCUGAUAUCGAGGAGAAUGGUGAGGACGAGGACGGUGUAAACGAGAGAAUCAAAACGAUGGAAGCGUGAGGAUA
rnacentral:miRNA from 1 species